ensembl:snRNA U6 U6 spliceosomal RNA
GUGCUCUCUUUGGCAGUACAUGUUCUAAAAUUGGAAUGAUACCAAGAUUAGCGUGGUGCCAGAGAAUGACAUGCAAAUUCAUAAAGCAGCCCAUUUUUUU